rnacentral:rRNA from 1 species
AGGGUUUGAUUAUGGCUCAGAUUGAACGCUGGCGGCAUGCUUUACACAUGCAAGUCGAACGGCAGCACAGGGAGCUUGCUCCCGGGUGGCGAGUGGCGCACGGGUGAGUAAGACAUCGGAACGUGUCCUCUUGUGGGGGAUAACUACCCGAAAGGGUGGCUAAUACCGCAUAAGUCCUGAGGGAGAAAGCGGGGGAUCUUCGGACCUCGCGCGAGAGGAGCGGCCGAUGGCCGAUUAGCUAGUUGGUGAGGUAAAGGCUCACCAAGGCGACGAUCGGUAGCUGGUCUGAGAGGACGACCAGCCACACUGGGACUGAGACACGGCCCAG